AAUUUAUGAUGUGGAUAGAUAUUCAUCAGAUCCUUGAACCUCUCCCAACAAGCCUAGAAGGUCUCGUCACCUUUCUGUAUGAACUAACUGAUAUGCUCCUAUAGGU